CCUACGGGUGGCAGCAGUGGGGAAUAUUGCUCAAUGGGCGCAAGCCUGAAGCAGCCAAGUCGCGUGAAUGAUGACUGCCCUACGGGUUGUAAACUUCUUUUAUAAAGAAGUAAAGGGAGGCACGUGACCCUUUUUGUAUGUACUGUAUGAAUAAGGAUCGGCUAACUCCGUGCCAGCAGCCGCGGUAAUACGAAGGGUAGGAGCGUUGUCCGGAUUUAUUGUAUUGAAAGGGAACGUAGAGGGGUUGUUAAGUCAGUUGUGAAAGCCUGCGGCUCAACCGUAACAGGGCAAUUGAUACUGGCAGCCUUGAGUACAGUAGAGGUAGGUGGAAUUCCAGGUGUAGCGGUGAAAUGCUUAGAUAUCACGAAGAACUCCGAUUGCGAAGGCAGCCUACUAAACUGCCACUGACAUUGAGGCUCGAAAGCGUGGGUAGCAAACAGGAUUAGAUACCCGUGUAGUC
rnacentral:rRNA from 1 species